rnacentral:lncRNA from 1 species
AGACAAUGCACAAACACCGAACAUUCCCUGUUGUACCUCCAGACAUGUUGUGUAUGGUUCCAUGCCCGAAGUAGGGUUGGUUUACAACGGAUGGACAGGAAAGUAGCUUCUCCUAACCGCGAAGGGAAGAAGGGGAAAUCGGUGGCAAUGACAUAUAGGGGUUUGUGAGUCGGUGGAGUUUUUGAAAACGACGAAGUUAGUGGAUAACGGCUGGGACGCUCCUGCCCCACGUGGACGAACAUGCGCUUCCAUCCAACCCCACCCAUCAUCCCCGGACAGACCCUCUUGCAAGUUCAAUGAUAAAAUGAAGGGAAGGAUUUAAGAUUAGGAACAUAACUGUUAUUCAUUUAUGCGAAAUCAAAAUUCCUGAUGUACUGCC